rnacentral:lncRNA from 1 species
UUCUUCUUGAUCACUCCUCCCGUUAGCAGUAGCCCACGGCCCUCGGCUCGGAUGCUAAUUCCUAACCGUGCGUAGUCCUGUAUGGCUAACCUUUCUGCUGCAGUCCAGGGUGUUGACACUGACAUGCUGCAGUGUACCGUCGGUGAUUUAUUUAGGAUAAAUAUGUCUCAGGUGGCAUUUAAUCCUUCAUAAAACCAGUGUAGCCUGCAGUGUCAAACCAGCAAUCACGUUGUAUGCGCAAUGAAAAGAGCAGGCCUUUGCAUAAAAAAAAAUUGUACAGAAGGUGUUUCUAGGCCCAGAAGGAUUGCGGAGGCUUCACUAAGCCAUUGUAUCCUGUAAUUACCCAUAGAGCUAGGUUAAUGUUACCUCUCUUUUUCUCUCUCAUUACACAACUAUUGGAAUGUAAGGGGGUUUAAGAAGUACAUACACGAAUGUGUGCCUUAGAAUAAUGAGGCAUAGCAGGUUUUGUGAGCAAGGGACAUUCAUUGUGGCAUGGAUUGUCUAUAAAAAAGACAAGCAAGCUGAUAGCUUUCCUUGUGACUUUUGCCAGAGAAUAUGACAGAACUUCAAAGUUUUUUUUUUUUUAAGGCAAAUGAAAUAUUUACUUGGAGACUAAUCCAGAAAGGCCACUUUUGUAUUAAGCUGCAGCCAAUUAAACGACAGAGCCUCAAGGACGUCUGGCAUGCAAGGAAGACCAGACCGCCUGAGGCAGCAGAUAGUAAUGGUUUAGACCUCAGCUUCCAUGGCGGAAGUCGAGCAGUGCUCUCUGUAUAUGCUGGAGAGUUACAAAGCAAGACAGCAGUUUCCAGAAAAAGGAAGUUGUAGCCACUUGAGGUCACGUUCAUGAAACAGAAUCAAACCUGCGUCGUUCCGGGAUGCCCCAGGCCUCACCAAGCAGUGGAUGUGGAAGAAGCAGGGGAAGAUGCUCUCCUAAAAUAUGUCCCAUGCACCGCAGAACAAGCAGGCAAGCUCACGUCACCUGAUACAGAGAUCCUUUUCGCCACGUGGUUUGCUUUGAAGUACCAAGUGAAUGUGCCCAGGUUCUAUGAGUGCAGCGCUGGAAGCUCCACUGCCCUUUACAAGGUUCUAUGAGCGCGGGGCUGGAAGCUCCACUGCCCUUUACAAGGUUCUAUGAGCGCGGGGCUGGAAGCUCCACUGCCCUUUACAAGGUUCUAUGAGCGCGGGGCUGGAAGCUCCACUGCCCUUUACAAGGUUCUAUGAGCGCGGGGCUGGAAGCUCCACUGCCCUUUACAAGGUUCUAUGAGUGUGGAGCUGGAAACUCCACUGCCCUUUACAAGCUUCUAUGAGUGCAGGGCUGGAAACUCCACUGCCAUUUAUAAGCUCUGUUCAGAAAUGGGACCGCAGAGUAUCACAGAAAAACCAGAGCUGGACAGUAGUUGCACAGGUAAAACCCAGAUUUUAUUCAGGAAAAUGUCAGUAGGGGAAAAAAGACCUGGGCACAGAACUGGGCUCGGUUCUGAAUACAGGAGCAAGCGAAGGUUUACAGCCAAGAAGUUGUGGGGGCAGGCACUGGUGGAUGGAAGAUGACUAAAAGGACGCAGGGGGAAGGGGAGCGGGCACUGGUGGAUGGAAGAUGGCUAAAGGGACGCACUGGUGGUUGGAAGAUGACUAAAAGGGCGCACAGGGAAGGGGAGCGGGCACUGGUGGAUAGAAGAUGGCUAAAAGUACGCACAGGGAAGGGGAGCAGGCACUGGUGGAUGGAAGAUGGCUAAAAGGACGCACGGGGAAGGGGAUUAUGCCCAAGCCCACAGGACUGGAUUCUUGCUGAAGCGAGGCCAGGGCCGUCAGAUUCCACCUGAGGCGGAGGGGGCGUGAUAGGAUAAGGAACCUGGUUAGAUCUUAUGAGUGAGCAGACAUGGAGGGUUAAGGUUAGAGUUCUCGCCAGGAUUUCUGGCUAAACCGAUUUGGCAGGGUUCUUGCUGAAACUAGAUUUUACAAGGAAGUGCACAGAUGGGAAAGUUCAGUCAACCAAAGCUCUGUCAAAAGUCCUAGGAGGUGGACGGGGAGGAAUCCCGGUCAUCUCUACCCAAGUCCCGGUCUCUCUACCCUAUUCUCUCGUGGGGCACAGCAAGGCCUCCGCAGGGCCAGGCAGCCCCAGCCCACCUCUGCUGUAAGAAGCAAGGGGCUGCUCCCCACAUGGCAUUUGUGUCUCGGUCCUACCGAACUUCUUUUUCCUGAACAAAAGAUAAAAUGAUGGCAUAAGGAAAGCAUCCAAGAACCAGCUUGGAUUUCUAACCCAGAGCUGGUUCUAGGAAGAGAAUUAGGGAACAAGAAAGGUCAUUCAUUUAGCAAACUAAAAAUCUGUAAGUUUUCACUUCUUUGGCUGUUUAAUAUUAGCCCAUAAUUUAAGAGAGCACACAGCUCACUUAAGCAACCUCCUCCUGUUCCAUCUUGUUGAAGAAUACAAUUCGUUUUCUCCUCCUCUAGGGUGAUAUCAUUUUACAUGAAGAAAAAAGUUCUCUCGGAUGGCAGUUAUACGUUUCGGAAGCACCUUCUAAUCAGGGAUGGGUGAUUCAUUAUUAGCUUCAGCAGGCGAUCCAUCUGACAUGUAAGGGGAAAAAAUUAGCAGCUGUCACGGCAUGAUGAGUUAAUUUCCUGAUGGGCCUGACACCGAAAAGCCAUUUGGAGACAUGGCAGAGGCUGACAAGAAAACCUGGCGCUGCUUUAUAAUUGGAGAUAAAGAAAGGGCAGAGAAACAGGCCGAGGAUGGCCCCCAGGUCUGCAGGCUGGGGGGUGCCUGUGAGCUCUGCGUGGUCGUGGCUAUGGCCUGAGGCCGUGGCCCUGGCUGGCUGUGUCCAGGUCCGGGGUGGUCGCCACUGCUCCCUCUGGGAUGAGAGUGGCCCGGGGCCUGGCAUUCUCCCCAAGAGGCAGAGCGUGCCUGCUGGCCUCCUUUCCAUGGUCACCUUGGCGAUUUUCAUAACUGGAGCUCAGGAUUCCCAUUGUGGGAUGACUUUUCAUCACUAUGAGAAAGUAACCCAUUAAGUAAAUACCAUGGAAACCCAGGCAGGCGGGAGUGGUGGGCCUGGGGCAGCAGGCGGGAUUCAGUCUGGCUUCCCUCGCCCCCCGCCUUCAGCUGCACCUCCACAGGGCAUCCAUUGCAAACCCAACAAGAUGAAAAAAACACUGUAAGAAAUAUCCUGAAGAUGGAAAUUAGAGAAAUCAGCAUUAUGAAGCCAGCUUUGAAAUACCAGGCUGGAUGUGCUGGUCUUCACUGGGUGAAGGAGGUAUCUGCUGAAGGCUUAGCAUGUGGGCUUCUAGAAUCCAGGCCCCACGUCUGGACCCUGAAACCCUCUGGUGAGAAAACAAAGAGGCCCAGCCCGUUACAGGCUGGGACACGUCGAUGACUCUUGGCUUUCUUGGACUCUGGAUCUGUAAAAUCGACAAGGCAGAGGACACAACUCUGCUUUUCUCUAGGCUGGACUCGAAGGAUGCCCCCCUAAAGAGCUCACCAGCUGGAGACAGAAGACAGCCGUGGUCACAAAGCCCAUUACCAGAAUUAAAUAAAUCCGUUCUAAAUCUCCCAGGCAAAGAAUCAUUUACUUCCUCCAUGGCCCUGCAUUUUCAAUACCUUUUAAUAAAUUCUUUUAAAAUGACCUAAUUUCAACAUGGCUUUCAACUUCAUAAAAAGACAAUUUAUAACCAGGAUAAACAUGAACCUAGGACAUGCCAUUUCAGUCCUCUCCAGGAUCUCACGUUACGCUUCAAAUAACUUUUUAAGUGGAAGAAUAAAAACCAACACAAAGUCAAGGUUUGUUUUUUAAUUUCCACAUUGAGCUCUGGUUUGAGCCUGAGCUUUCCAAGGCUGAUCUGGGCUCCCUGCUUGUCCCGCCGGCGUCGGGCCCCUCCUGUGCAGGAAGCCGUCAGGGAGCCCCAGUUAGGAAGGGAUCUCCCAGAGCAGGGCCACCUCUGUCCUCGCCUCCACUGCGCCACAGAGCCCCAGCAAAUCUGCAGAGCUAUCAUGACUGAUCUGUAAAUAGGGCCAUAACCCACGAAUACAGUCUACCCCCAGUCUGGGCUCCCCUCUUUCACCUGUGCUCCUGCCGCAGUUGAAGGAGAUAGAAGACGUUUUCAUAUCAGGAUUGCAACAUACGGCCCGUGGGAGAGGAUGGUGAUCCUAACCUAUGCCUGGAAACGACGCUGCGAGUGACUUUUCUGGUAAGGGUCGGGACUCACAGUGAUUGUCCAACGCGCAGUCUCUCACCCGUAUUCAGAAUGUCCUGGGAAACAGGCGGGGCUCUGGCUACGAGGCCACAUAUGUCCCACCUCCCCUGACCCCCCGCAUGUCACAGGGCUCAGGUGCCUUUUCCUUUAUCUCUAAUUCCAGCUGUAAGCUCAUGCCCCUGCACACAGCCUCUGCGUGUUCAUCUUCAGGCCCUGAGCUUCUUGUGCAGCUAGGUAGGCGCUCAGCAAGUUACUUUAAAUGGGUGGAUAAAUACAUGGAUUGUCAAUUCGUCAUCAGUUUUUCCUGUUUGCUUACUCACCUUCCUCUCUGUUGGUUUAGUCAUAAUGUUCUCAAAUAACAAAAGCCUUUGGCAGGAAUUGAAUCAGAUGAAUGCACCGUGAACACACUGUCUUUUGGUCACGCUGGUUCAGAGCACGUCCCUCUACCUACUUCCACCUUUUUCAAAAACAUUUCUUGAUGAGCAGGGCCCUGAGACCAAACUUCACGGCAGACGCUGGAUCUGAGUCACACUGUCUUGUCAUGUGUGGUCAGGUGACCUGCAGCUUCCACCAGCAGGAAGAGAUGCUGGGAGAGGAUUUCCUCUUCACUCGCAGUCAUCGUCAUCUGAAGGGAAGCCUGCAAGUUCGUUCUGUUUCUAGUAAGAUUUGUCUUUGCUUAUGUCCUGGCUUCUUCCUCGCCCUGCAGACUUGGGCCAGUGCUGUUCACUGCACAGUUAUUCUUUCCUCGACGUGCCGUGCAGAGAAGGCUGGUGUUUUGGGUAGUCUUGAACAAUGGGGACUUCCUCUUCUCUAGAGAGAGCUCUUUGACUAUAGGCAGGAAAUGCUGCACGGGAGCCUGGUUAGCAGGGGUGCUGUGGGCCCCGGGCUGCAGGGCCUGCUAUGCAUGCAGCAGCAUCUCGUGACGGGUCAUCUCCUGGUGCGUCCUGUGAUGAAGCAGGUGCGCCACAAGCCAGAGAGGAGCACCAGAGGGGAAAAUAACACCCUGUCCAUCUGACUGCAGAAGGCAUGCCCCUCACAUCUCCGUGCCUCUGCAAUCGAGACACAGCGAGAGUGUCUCAGAUGUAACGAAUACCAUAAAUCUGUGUAAAGCAAGUCCUGGGGGAAGAAGAAGUAUGGGGUCUCCCUUGGAAAGGACAACAAAUAUGCCACAGAAUGGCACCCAGCACCCCUGAGGUGAGCCCAGCAGGCUGUGGACGGUGCUGAAUUUCCAGUUACUUCUUAAGGCCUAAAGAAGAUGGCUCAGCAUGCUCCUGGCCUCUAAUGCAUUUGGAGUGGGGCAAAACACACACCUUCUCAGUGAGAGGGACUCAAGAGGUCCCAGAGGUGCAAUCCUAAAAUGGACAGGCUGCUCUUGGAGAAAAGGCGCCCUCCAGGCCUGGAAGACUCUAGCAGAGGCUGGUGGGCUCGAUAGAGACACACAGUCUAGAAGGGCGUCCUCGCCGGGCCCGCCUGGCCCUGGGGCCACCAGGGCGUGUUCUGCAGUUCUGGGAAGCGGAUCUGCUGACUGGGUCCUGAGCUGAGAACCGUGACUUCAUUCCAGGCCUUCGAUUUUAUGAAUAAGAGCUGGCCUCGAACUGCUGUGAUGUCAGAGGAGUCACCUGUGCAUCCUGAGGCUAGUGGGUCCUCUACAGAGUGAAGGCUGAGAAUAGAUAGACCCUAAUAUUAACACCAGCUCUAAGCCCUUUGAUGAUGUGAACAAGUCUCAGCGAGUGUCCGUGAAUUGUUGAAGGAGAGUAUCAGAAAGACAACACGGUCUGGACGUGGCAGUGAUGGCAAAGUGUCCCCAAAGAAGCUGAAAUCCAUAUAAGGUGGCCUUCUGACAGGUGCGUAGCGAGUCUUAGUUACAUUGAGGGCAGAACGUCUCCCAGAGCAGCGAGCGUGGACUGUAACCUGACUGAACACAUUCAGGAACCUGGAGAGAGGACGCCAGAGCCCGUGGGUGGCCGUGGGAGGACAGGGGAAGGAAGGCUUAGAGAAGCAGCCGCAGACGCUCACGGCAGGGCCGUGCAGGCAGAGGCAUGUGGCCGAGGCCCCCACACUCCCUGCACGGAGAGGCUCCCAGCAGCCCAGUCCUCUGCCCUGGGGGUCCUCAGCCAGGUGGCCUGGCCCCAGGGGACAAGUGGCCAUGUCUGGGUUGCCACAACUAGAUGUGUGGUGGGUGGAGGCCAGGCCACUGCUGAGCCCUACGGUGCCCGGGAUGACACAGCCCCUGUGCACCAGAGUCCGGGGAGACCCGCCCCAGGUCCCUGCCGCCUAUGUGCCCUCAUCUGGGCUGGCUGUGUCACUGGGCGCCUCCAGUAAGAAUGUGUGGCUCUAUGUCUAAUGCAGAAAUCAGCUGGCCUGCUGGCAUUAGCUCCACUCCUCUGAGGGAAGGAGAGAACUGGGAUUCGCUGCACACCAGGGUAACGCAUCCCCGCCUGGGCGCACUUGCACGGCCAGGUGAAACCCUGGAUAUGGGGAGGCUGGUGGGCCACAUGCCGUCUCCUGGGGCCUUCAGGUCGCACCCUCUGGUGGUGGGAGGUGAAGGCGACCGCCCCACCCAUGCCCAGGAGAAGCUGGGGAGCUGGGCUGCAGGACGAAGUGAGUCCAAGCUGUGCCCCAGCCCGGGCUGCUCGUUAGGGUUGUGACACACACCGCUGUCACUCCUGUUGAAGAUGGAGCCUGGCAGAGGGAAGGGGAGUCCCUCCUGGAACCUGAGGGGACAGAGAAUGAAGCAAGGGGUGAAGGCCCGACCUCCUCCCAGCAGCAUGGAGCGUGGCAGGGUGGCCUUCGCAGGGUCCAGCCUGAUGGGGCCAAGGCCCCAGGACCCUCUGUGGCUCAUACCACAUACAUCUGUGUUUCGUUUCUGUUAAGCCAGUGACACAUCCCAGCUCUUUAUCCAGAGGAAACCCAAGCAGGCUACCAAGAAGGAGGAAGAUCACUCGGUCCUGUGCCGUCAGGUUCCAAACAUGACAGCACACAGCCAUGAAGCCCUGCCCCAUUCAGCCAGCCCUGUGCAAAGCUUUCCAGAUACAUGACCUUCCCUACUGCCUCCUGAACCCCACGGGACAUGUGGCAUUAGCCACACUUACAGAGCCUCAGAAAGGCUAAGCAGCUCGCCCAGUGACACACAGUGGAGGUGACAGGGCCCCAUCCCCAGCUUUAGGUCACGGCUUCCCUCCUCACUCAUACGAACAGCGGACACCACAUAGAACAGAGGCGCCAGGCCCUGCCCGAAGUGCUUUAAUGCAUGAUGUGCUUCAGCUCUGUGUCCCCACCCAAAUCUCAUCUGGAAUUGUAAUCCCCAGGUGUUGAGGGAGAGGCCUGGUGGGAGUGGAGGGAGAGGCCUGGUGGGAGGUGAUUGACUCAUGGGGGCGGUUUCCCCCAUGCUGUUCUCGUGAUAGUGAGUGAGCUCUCACAAGAUCUGGUGGUUUUAUAAGGGGCUCUUUCCCCUUUGCUUUCUCUUCUCUCUCUCCUGCCACCAUGUGAAGAUGGUCCUUGCUUCCCCUUUGCCUUCUGCCAUAACUGUAAGUUUCCUGAGGCCUCCCCAGCCAUGUGGAAAUGUGAGUCAAUUAAACCUUUUUCCCAGUC